UCAGUUCGACGGACGGCGUCUGUAACUCUAUCUUGCGCUGCUCGAGGCGACUCGCCCAUCCAACUUCACUGGACUCACAAUAUGAGACCUUUGGACCUUAUUACUUACAGGGUCUCGGUAUCAGAGAAACGAUCAGAAAGCGGAGCGAGUUCUGAGUUGACGAUAGCGCACGCACAACGAAGGGAUUCGGGCGUUUAUAGGUGUCGCGCGGAAAACGCUUACGGCAGAGAUGAGCUUCUCAUAUACCUGGCGGUGCAAGAGUUUCCGGAAGCGCCACGUGGCUUAUCAGUGAAACAGCGCGAGGGUCGCGCAGCAACUGUGCAGUGGCGGCGCGGUUUUGACGGCAACGCGCGUCUUCGUGCAUUUCGUUUACAGUAUCGAGUAGUUGGUCACACGCAGCUGCCGCCUGAUUGGAGCCUUGCUCCUACACGAGAACU